rnacentral:lncRNA from 1 species
UGUUUAGCAUAAAAAGUUGUUAAAUAUAUCAUACCCUGUGUUCCGAACUGGCGGCAGAUUUUAGCAAUGUUUAAUUGUAAGAAAUAGCCAUGUACUACUUAAUUGCAUAACUAGGUGGAACAUAAAAAUCACAAUUACAUGAAUUAUAUUAAGUAAAAUAUGUUAAAAUAGUUUGUUUUUCGAUGGUGGAAUUUUAUGGACACCAUAAUGAAACUGAAGUACAUUUUUAAUUACCUAAUUAUUGCUAUUUUCAAAGUCCAUUUACACCAUAAUUGUUCCUGUUUUCAUAGUCCAAAGAGUCCUUGACAGAAAGACUCAGUAGGAUCUAAAAUAAGGAUUCAUUCUUCAGACAGCUCGGGCUUGUGGCUCCCCCCGCCCCGCCCCGACUUCGAGAAUCUACCUCGGAAGCAAUCGUUCAUCAUUUAUGCAACAAGUAAUCGGUAUGUAAAGCCACCGGGUGUAUUAGAGGGGUAGGGACGUGCAGGGGGAGCUGUGCUUCCAGCCCUCGGGCGACUUACUGUCUGGCUACUGGCCCGUGCUGAGGGUCAGCGCCUGGAUGUCCCUGCCGAGGCCUGAGUGAGAAAUUCCUGGCAGGGUCAGAGAGCCCGGGCCUGCCUGGCUCUCUGAACUCUCAGACCAAGUGGGGUUGGACCAACUGGGCUGGGUUUUGGAACCCCGGGCCUUCCAAGGCCUCCGCGAGCUCUCCAUCACUCACGUCAUUUAAAAUACGUCUUCCUGUGAGGGAAAUGGGUUCCAGCCACAGAGUAACUGGAGACUCCAUGAGUCACUGCGGUUAAGACAGAUCAUUGAAUUCUCCUCGGAUGUGACUCCGGAGCCGGGAGGCCACGGAGUCUGGACAGCAGCCGAGAGGAGCCAGCUCUGAUGGUGGCACGGCCCCAGGAAGCGCCUCCGGCCUACUGGGUCCUUCCCUCUGGAGGACAGCUCUUGCCAACUACUGCAAAUCGUCUGUCCCGUCCAGGCCUCUCCUCUGAGCACCAACCACUAGUCAACAUCUCUACUGGUACGUCCUGUGGCUAAGGUGACUGUGUGUCCUCAUUGGCUCAGGAGAGUGUCUGCUUACAUUUUUGCCCUGGCGUAAUUAUCCAUAGCACCCCUUCCAUGUCCAACCAUGUUCUGGACAAUAAAUUAUAAGGUCAUCUAUCAGCAAAUAGUAGACAUCUGGGCAGCCCAGGUGGCUCAGUGGUUGAGCAUCUGCCUUCGGCCCAGGGCAUGAUCCUGGAAUCCCAGGAUCGAGUCCCACGUCAGGCUCCCUGCAUGGAGCCUGCUUCUCCCUCUGCCUGUGUCUCUGCCUCUCUCCCUCUGUGUCUCUCAUGAAUCAAUAACUAAAAUAUUUAAAAAAAUAGUAGACAUCUGUGAUUUGCUGGUCCAAUCUGUUUCUCGUUUUGGUAACGGUACUGGUUUUCCUUUGGAGAAUCAUCCCCGCAGCUCCAUCCUCCAGGUGGUUUAGUCAUGUGACUGGUGUACCCAGAAUCAGAUUAGUAUAUAGAGAGGUAUUUGGUCAAAAGUCAAUCAAGAAUAUUCAUAUCUAACAAUGUUGUUAGCACUUUUCUUUUCUUGGGGGGAGGGAAGAUUUCUCCCAAUAGGAUUGGUAAACUGGUAGAAUUAGAGAGAUAGCUGAGCCAAUGUUACCACAUAUUUGGGGAAAACAUGCCUGAGGGGGAAGGCGACAUAGAGAAAACACAUGGUGUGGGGGGAAGCAUAGAAAAAAGGAGGGAAGGGAAGAGGCAGGGAAGGGAGAGGUAGAAGAAGAAGGAGAAGAGCUGAAGAGGGGAAAGGGAGAGGAAAGAGGAGGGAGAUUCUCGAAGCCAACACUGGGCUCCGGGCUCUGGUAGCCAGCCCCAUGCCCUCAUUUUUCAUACAUAAGCCACGACUCGUCUUCUUCACUUGGGAGGGUGGAAGGAAGCGAUUGUGUCAAACGAUGCCAAGAGAGUCCGGACCUAUUCAAGCCUGGCCAGCCCUGUUCCCUCUGCCCUGAGUCUCCUACCCCAGGCUUCAAAUCUCAGCAAUCAGCCAGUUUCUUAUGUCAGAACACCGGAAUCAUCUUCCGCAUCUGCCUCUCAACUAUCAUGAUCAAAUCCUAUUGAUUCUCUCAUCAAAAUGGCCCUAGACUCUGUGACCUUCCUUCCAUCAGCACUGCCCCCAACAAGUCCAUAAUACUAUCACGUCACAUCCCAACAGCUGAAUCGUCUCCCAGCUGUCUUCUUCUCCACGACAUUCUCCAUGGAAGGGGUCACUUCUGACGCUUCGGGUCUUCUCAUGGCACACAAGCCCGUUCUUCACUGGAGAGUUGGAAAG